UACGGGGGGGGUAAGCGUUGUUCGGAAUUACUGGGCGUAAAGGGCUCGUAGGCGGCCAACUAAGUCAGACGUGAAAUCCCUCAGCUUAACUGGGGAACUGCGUCUGAUACUGGAUGGCUCGAGUUUGGGAGAGGGAUGCGGAAUUCCAGGUGUAGCGGUGAAAUGCGUAGAUAUCUGGAGGAAUACCGGUGGCGAAGGCGGCAUCCUGGACCGACAUUGACGCUGAGGAGCGAAAGCUAGGGGAGCAAACGGG
rnacentral:rRNA from 1 species